AUACGGAGGGUGCAAGCGUUGUCCGGAUUUAUUGGGUUUAAAGGGUGCGCAGGCGGUGCGUUAAGUCAGUGGUGAAAUCUUCCGGCCCAACCGGGAAACUGCCAUUGAUACUGGCGCACUUGAGUACGGACGAGGUAGGCGGAAUUUAUGGUGUAGCGGUGAAAUGCAUAGAUACCAUAAAGAACACCGAUAGCGAAGGCAGCUUACCAGACCGUAACUGACGCUCAGGCACGAAAGCGUGGGGAGCAAACAGGAUUAGAAACCCUAGUAGUCC
rnacentral:rRNA from 1 species